rnacentral:rRNA from 1 species
CCUAGUUGAUCCUGCCACUAGUCAUAUGCUUGUCUCAAAGAUUAAGCCAUGCAUGUCUAAGUAUGAACUAAUUCAGACUGUGAAACUACGGAUGGCUCAUUAAAUAAGUUAUAGUUUUUUUUAUGGUACCAUACUACUUGGAUAACCUAGUAAUUCUAGAGCUAAUACAUGCACCAAGUCCCGACUCUUUGGAAGGGAUGCAUUUUUUACAUAAAAGGCCGGCGCGGGCUUGCCCGCUUCUCCGGUGAAUCAAGAUAACUCGACGGAUCGCACAGCCCUUGUGCUAGCGAUGCUUCAUUCAAAUUUUUGCCCUAUCAACUUUCGAUGGUAGGAUAGAGGCCUACCAUGGUGGUGAUGUGUGACAGAGAAUUAGGGUUCGAUUCCGGAGAGGGAGCCUGAGAAACGGCUACCACAUCCAAGGAAAGCAGUAGGCGUGCAAAUUACCCAAUCCUGACAUGGGGAGGUAGUGACAAUAAAUAACAAUAUUGGGCUCAUCGAGUCUGGUAAUUGGAAUGAGUACAAUCUAAAUCCCUUAAUGAGGAUCCAUUGGAGGGCAAGUCUGGUGCCAGAAGCCGCAGUAAUUCUAGCUCCAAUAGCAUAUAUUUAAGUUGUUGCAGUUAAAAAGCUCGUAGUUGGAUCUUGGGUCGUAAAGGUCGGUCCGCCUACUCGGUGUGCACCUGUCCUUCCGUCCCUUUUUCCAGAGGCAUGCUCCUGGCCUUAAUUGGCUGGGUCAUGGCUCUGACGCUGUUACUUUGAAAAAAUUAGAGUGCUCAAAGCAAGAUUAUGCUCUGAAUACAUUAGCAUGGAAUAACGUGAUAGGAGUCUGGUCCUAUUGUGUUGGCCUUCAGGACUGGAGUAAUGAUUAAUAGGGACUGUUGGGGGCAUUCAUAUUUCAUUGUCAGAGGUGAAAUUCUUGGAUUUAUGAAAGAUGGACCACUGCGAAAGAAUUUGCCAAGGAGGUUUUCAUUAAUCAAGAAUGAAAGGUAGGGGCUCGAAGAUGAUCAGAUACCAUCCUAGUCUCAACCAUAAAUGAUGAUGACCAGGGAUCCGCGGAUGUUACUCUAAGGACUCUUCCAGCACCUUCUAAGAAAUCAGAGUGUUUGGGUUCUAGGGGGAGUAUGGUUGCAAGGCUGAAACUUAAAGGAAUUUAUGGAAGGGCACCACCAAGAGUGGAUUAUGCGGCUUAAUUUGACUCAACAUGAGGAAACUUACUAGGUCCAGACAUAGUAAGGAUUGACAGAUUGAGAGCUCUUUCUUGAUUCUAUGGGUGGUGGUGCAUGGUCGUUCUUAGUUGGUGGAGCGAUUUGUCUGGUUAAUUCCGAUAACGAACGAGACCUCAGCCUGCUAACUAGCUACGCAGAGGUUCCCCUUCGCGGCCAGGUUCUUAGAGGGACUAUGGCCAUUUAGGCCAUGGAAGUUUGAGGCAAUAACAGGUCUGUGAUGCCCUUAGAUGUUCUAGGCCGCACGCACGCUACACUGAUGCAGCCAACGAGCUUUUCUUCUUGGUUCGAAAGGAUCGGGAAAUCUUCUCAAAUUGCAUUGUGAUGGGGAUAGACCAUUGCAAUUAUUGGCCUUCAACGAGGAAUUCCUAGUAAGCGCGUGUCAUCAACUCUUGUUGACUACGUGGUGGGAUGCUGCCAUCGACGUCGUGAGAAGUUCAUUAAACCUUAUCAUUUAGAGGAAGGAGAAGUCAUAACAAGGUUACCAUAGGUGAACCUGCGGUAGGAUCAUUG